rnacentral:misc_RNA from 1 species
AAAAUUUUUUAAAAAUUAUACUUUUAAAAACCUUGAACUCUUCCAAAUAUAAAUUUUUAAAACCUCUCAACCUACCAAAUUUAAGCAUUUUCUUUCCAUAAAUUAAAUAUUAAUUAUUACUAAUUUUUCCUUUUUCAUAUCUUCCAUAAAUCAUUAUUUACCUUCCCUCCUCAAUGAAACAUUAAAAAAUUUCAUCUUACUUCUCAUUAUUUUACUUAUUUUAAAGAAACCUUGCUUUUGUCUCCUUCCAAUCCUCCAAACGAAAGGAAGUGCUAUAAAUCAAGGAUAAUGAAAUGAAAUAUAAUAAUGGAUUAUUU